rnacentral:rRNA from 1 species
CGGGGUGGAGUAAUGUCUGGGAAACUAGCCUGAUGGAGGGGGAUAACUGCUGGAAACGGUAGCUAAUACCGCAUAACGUCGCAAGACCAAAGAGGGGGACCUUCGGGCCUCUUGCCAUCGGAUGUGCCCAGAUGGGAUUAGCUAGUAGGUGGGGUAACGGCUCACCUAGGCGACGAUCCCUAGCUGGUCUGAGAGGAUGGCCAGCCACACUGGAACUGAGACACGGUCCAG